rnacentral:rRNA from 1 species
UUCCAGACUCCUACGGGAGGCAGCAGUGAGGAAUAUUGGUCAAUGGGCGGAAGCCUGAACCAGCCAAGUCGCGUGAGGGAAGAAGGCCCUGCGGGUCGCAGACCUCUUUGGACGGGGAGCAAGGCCGCCGACGUGUCGGCGGAAGGAGAGUACCCGUAGAACAAGCAUCGGCUAACUCCGUGCCAGCAGCCGCGGUAAUACGGAGGAUGCGAGCGUUAUCCGGAUUUAUUGGGUUUAAAGGGUGCGCAGGCGGCGCGGCAAGCAGGCGGUAAAAUCGCGGGGCUCACCCCCGCCUAGCCGUCGGAACUGCCGGGCUAGAGUGGGCGAGAAGUGCGCGGAAUGCGUGGUGUAGCGGUGAAAUGCAUAGAUAUCGCGCAGAACUCCGAUUGCGAAGGCAGCAUGCCGGCUCCACACUGACGCUGAGGCACGAAGGCGUGGGUAUCGAACAGGAUUAGAUACCCCGGUAC